UCCUCAGGCUUACCGGUGUCUCGAAAGCUUAAGGUUUGUCCUAUCCCGACGGGCAACGAUGCUAUCCUGAAUAGUUCCGAGUCUACGAAGCAGGAUAGGGGGAGUAUAAUGCCGCCUGUUUUAAAAUGCCAGCUCUACGAGGAUGACCGAAUGAGGAGCUCAUUGUUGAUUUUUGUGGAGGUGGUGCAUGACCAUUAAUACGUAGGUGGAGUGAUUUUGUCUGCUUAAUUGCGAUACGUACGAGACCUUAACCUGCUAAAUAGCCCGCGUCGCUUUGGCGGCGCGCAGGCUUCUUAGAGGGACUAUCGGCUCAAGCCGAUGGAAGUUUGAGGCAAUAACAGGUUAACCUUUCACAGGCCUGUAACAGUGCACUCGUGCGCUAGUCCAACGCCGUAGUCCGCGGGGAAGUCCCCGUCUGUCGGGCGGACUGACGGGCCUCAGGGCCCGCCUGGCGUGGGCGACACUACCUGGUACAGGGAACGCCGUCAUCGCGGGGCGCUUUGCGUCGCCCCGCGCCGGCCGAUCCUGUGGCGAGCCCCGAGUAAACGCCGGGGCCGUCGCAACGCGCGGAAAGGAGUGGGCCUUCGGGCUUAAGGUACGUGCUAAUCCGCCGGGAUGAUAAACCGGUCCCCCGCAAUGAGGCCCGACAGGCCGAGGUGCGGGGGGGCAGCCCCCCUUGUGGGCUGCCGGUGUGGCGGGGUCGCUUCAGGGCCCCGCCGAUGCUGUGAUGCCCUUAGAUGUUCUGGGCCGCACGCGCGCUACACUGACACAGCCAGCGAGUCCUUCCUUGGCCGAGAGGCCCGGGUAAUCUUGUUAAACUGUGUCGUGCUGGGGAUAGAGCAUUGCAAUUAUUGCUCUUCAACGAGGAAUCCCUAGUAAGCGCAAGUCAUCAGCUUGCGUUGAUUACGUCCCUGCCCUUUGUACACACCGCCCGUCGCUACUACCGAUUGAACGGCUCAGUGAGGCCUUCGGACUGGCCCAGGGAGGUGGGCAACUACCACCCAGGUGCCGGAAAGUUGUACGAACUCGGUCGUUUAGAGGAAGUAAAAGUCGUAACAAGGUCUCCGUUGGUGAACCAGCGGAGGGAUCAUUA